rnacentral:rRNA from 1 species
GACGAACGCUGGCGGCGUGCUUAACACAUGCAAGUCGAACGGAAAGGCCCUGCUUUUGUGGGGUGCUCGAGUGGCGAACGGGUGAGUAACACGUGAGUAACCUGCCCUUGACUUUGGGAUAACUUCAGGAAACUGGGGCUAAUACCGGAUAGGAGCUCCUGCUGCAUGGUGGGGGUUGGAAAGUUUCGGCGGUUGUGGAUGGACUCGCGGCUGAUCAGCUUGUUGGUGGGGUAGUGGCUUACCAAGGCUUUGACGGGUAGCCGGCCUGAGAGGGUGACCGGCCACAUUGGGACUGAGAUACGGCCCAGACUCCUACGGGAGGCAGCAGUGGGGAAUAUUGCACAAUGGGCGGAAGCCUGAUGCAGCAACGCCGCGUGCGGGAUGACGGCCUGCGGGUUGUAAACCGCUUUCGCCUGUGACGAAGCGUGAGUGACGGUAAUGGGUAAAGAAGCACCGGCUAACUACGUG